rnacentral:rRNA from 1 species
GGAAAGAUGAAAAGAACUUUGAAAAGAGAGUUAAACAGUACGUGAAAUUGUUGAAAGGGAAACGAUUGAAGUCAGUCAUACCAACGGGAAAUCAACCUUUUGAGCUUGGUUUCGUGGGUUUUGAAGAGUUUCAAAGCCUUCGGAUUCGCGAGAUUGGGAUCUCUCGGUGUACUUUCUCGUACGGUUAGUCAACAUCGGUUUUGAAUGUCAUAAAAUGACUGGAGGAAUGUAGCUUCGAUCUCGUAUUGAAGUGUUAUAGCCUUUGGUAGAUGUGAUGUUUGAGACCGAGGAUUGCAACGGAUACCCUUCAGGGCUAUUCGUCUGAUCUCUGAUACGUUGCCUUGAUGUUGAAAGCUUGCUUAUGAUGUUAGGGUAUUACGGUCAAAAGGUUAGAACGUAUUACAUUCGUUAAGGAUGUUGACGUAAUGACUUUAAACGACCCGUCUUGAAACACGGACCA